AUUCAACAUUGUUGGAAACCUUUACAAAUGAUUUAACUAUAAAAAUUCCUAUACACUUUAAUGAUUUAAAAUGUAGAUAAAUCACUUUAAAAGUUUUCUAAUAGUAUUGAAUUGUUUGCAAAGCUUAUUAAAUCGAGCCCAUCAAUGGCAUUAAACCUGUAACAUGACAUCGCCCAUUGUUACUGUCACAAUAACAUUCUAUGGAAACAUUUGUCACUCUCUGCCUUACUGAAACCUCCCCUGACAUCGGUAGGUUAAUACCCGCCCUCCCCAUACUGGCGUUAUCCCCGGCGUUAUCCUAUAACUAUUUCUAUAUUCUUAUUUUUAUCUCAUUGAUGGUUUGAUUAGCUGUAUGUCCAAGACCUUCAUAGUUUGAUUGUGUGUUACGGCUUGUUCAAAUAUUGGGAAUAAAACCAUUAUGAAUGACAGAGGAGCAAUCAGUACAAUUUAAAUCCCAUUCAUUCAUUUUAAUUAAAUUAAGUGAAUCAUAUUUUUCAGACUAUUUAAUAUCUGGCUCUGAUCUUGGCAAAGAUUAUUUUUAAUUGUAAAUAUGAGCCCGUUUUUAAUUCCAUUAGGUUUUUAUAUAGAAUUACCUAUUGUUUAAUUAAUCCAUUAACAGCUGUCGCUAGUCAUAGAUCCCCUGUAUAUCUGCGCUCAGUAACGCUGAUUGAUCGGAUAAUGCUAAACAUUUUGGGGUUCAUGUUAAGGAUUUGUCUCUGACACAAUAUUAUUCCAGUGACCUCGCUGGCAAACAUUGUCAUUACAAGGCUGAACAUACAGUAUCGAUAUAACUGAAAUGAAAUAUACUUUUUUUAAAACAUUUUUUACAGAAUACUGAAUAAAUUUUUUGGAAAAAAAUGAAUUGGUUUUAUUGUUAAAUGAGCAAAGAUAUAAAUAAACAAUGGAAAAAAUAACCAUUCAUUUUAUUAACCGCUUCAGGACGGAGUCAAUAGUACACGUUCUGAUCAAAACAAAAUGUAAACAAAAAGUGGAAUUUGCGCUACAUGUCUGUUCAACCGUAAUUCACCUCUUUCAUGUUGAGUACACCCACACUUAUUAUAUAUCAUUUUAUUCAGGAGAAACAG